rnacentral:rRNA from 1 species
UACGUAGGGGGCAAGCGUUAUCCGGAUUUAUUGGGCGUAAAGGGAACGCAGGCGGUCUUUUAAGUCUGAUGUGAAAGCCUUCGGCUUAACCGGAGUAGUGCAUUGGAAACUGGGAGACUUGAGUGCAGAAGAGGAGAGUGGAACUCCAUGUGUAGCGGUGAAAUGCGUAGAUAUAUGGAAGAACACCAGUGGCGAAAGCGGCUCUCUGGUCUGUAGCUGACGCUGAGGUUCGAAAGCGUGGGUAGCAAACAGG